AAGGGGUAAGAUUUCAUCCCUACCCCAGUUACUAAUUGUUCACUGAAACAAAAUACUGAUAAAAUAUAUUAAUUCGGGUUGGAAACUUGGAAUGAAUGCUUCAUCUUUGACCCAAAAUACUGAUAAAAUAACAAGGGGAUGGGACCCAACCCAACUAGCUAGGGUUUGUUUAUUCAAACUUAGAUUAGAUUAUACAUACAAGGAUUGCUUGCAUCCCCAAAGUCAAUGGCUGGACCAGGGAAUAUAAUUAAACUUUCCACUUUACAAAUACUAUUACAUUUUUUUUAAUAUAAAAAAUAUUUAUUUAUUUGUAGCAAAGGGAUAAGAGAGGGAUUAAAAUAAAGAAUUUCAAACUCUAUUCUUUCAUUGCUGAGAAGGGAAGGGAUUGAAAUCUUGACUCAUAAUCUACAUGAAAAAUACAUCCCUCCUCCACCACCGUCUGUUUGCUUUCCGGCCACAGAAAUGAAAGGAAAGAGAGGUGGGGUCAUGGGUGGGACCCAGAAAAAUUGCAAAAAGAUAAUGCAUUGCACAAAGAAAUGUGCAAAUAAACCGUGUAGAUGUGUAUCAUGUAUUUGUACGGAGACAGCAAUGUUACAAAAAUUAAGGUAAUAAACAAGAAAAAUCGCAGAUACGGGUCCCGCCCAAAAGCCAUGUCAGCAGUCAUGUCAGCCUCGUCCGACAAACCUAUGUCUCAUUUCGUGUUCUUAAUGCAUAAUAUUAAGCUUAAUUGCCAUUAGAUAUUUUACGAAAAUAAAUAAUAAUAAUAAUAAAAUUGCAUCGUCAACAAGGAAUAUGGCCACAUUUAAUGUAACGCCGCCCCACCAUGCACUUGUGGCCCCACUGACACCCGGACCCGGUUCUUUCUUUCUAUUUACGGGGUUUACGUUGACAGCGACGUCGUUUCAGCAUUCGGUCACUAACCCAAGUAGUAGGGCAUGUGAGUGAGAGAGUACCCUUAUGUCUAUGGUAGUAGUUUGGUUGAUGUGAUGUGACCCUUGGUCGGCCAGGUCACUUUAUUUUUAUUUUUAUUUUUUUGCUGGAAAAUGUUGUUAAUUUCUCCUAGGGUAUUUCCGUAACUUCAAGGUGGAAAAUUUCAUUAGAAAGUUUUUAGCGCUUCUUUUUUAUUGUUAGUACUUUGAUUUCAUACUUGUUGUCAAUUCACAGCCACGUAGUCAAAUUCUUAAACUUAACUUUUGUAUGAAAUUAAUUAACCUUCACGGUCGAUAGAUAGGGCGAUUGUAAUAGGUCUAAAGAAACUCAUACGUAUUUAAAGUUUGAACUAUCACAAAUGUUAACUAGUAGAAUUCUUUUUAUUUUUUUAUAAAAAUUUUAAGAUUGCAUUCAUAAUUCAAUCAACAAAGCCAUUAAUAUAAAUCAGCAACUUAAAUAGCCUCUAAGGUUUUAAGUUUUAUAAGAAAAAAAAGAAUAUAUAAGGCUUUUAAAGCUUCUAAAUAUCACGUAUAAUUGAAGAAAUUCUGGCAUAAGCUUCUCAACUAAGAUUACAAACUCAAAAUAAUUGAAAAGAGAUAAAGCUUGAAAAAAUCAAAUUCAGUAUACCUACUCGAAUUCAUUAAAAACGCUUAAUUUACAAAUAAUUAAUUAUGUACGAAGUUCACUUUGAAAUAUUAUACGCACUUGAUAGGAAGGUGAAAUGUGAAGUUUGCCUUGUCGCCUUAAAAAAAAUUGAAGUUAUUUAAUACUUUAUCCAUGCAGUCGAGAAUUGAGAAAUGAAUAAGAAAUGAAUGAAGGCAUGAAAAUGGUUAGAUGACUAGUUGAGUUUGUAUAUUUGUAUUAUUCAAACAACGAUACAAUUAUAAUAUUUUAAAAAACAAAAAGAAUCAUCCUCGCAUUAUAAAUUUCGAUAUAUUCGCAUUGUUGGUUCAACUUUGGGAACCUAAAACAAAUAAUAAAUAAACCAAUAAUAGUUGUAUAAUGCAUUGUCAAUAGGCCUUGAUUAAAAAAUUAGGGAAAUCUAAUAAAUUACUCCUCUCUCUUCAAUCAACCCCCAAAAUCUGGUCAAAUCCAUGUUCUAAGAUUUCAUUCAUUCAUUUUCCCCCAAAAAAAAUAAAAUAAAUCAUUUUAGGCACCAAUUACCCAUUUCUUUGACCACCCAAAUUUGUUCAACAUGCCUAAUUACAAAUUAAAAAAGAAAAAGAAAUUAUGCAUAUUAAGAAUAAGAAAUUAUUUUAUUUUCUACACAUGGAUGGACUUGGUUAUGCUGUCCAGGAGAAUAAUACAUUGGAUCUCCCACAGCCUACAGGUUUAAUAUUUGGUGCUUCCUCUGACAAAAUUAUCACCAAACCCUCUCUCUCUCUCUCUCUCUCUCUCUCUCUCUCUCUCUCUCUCCUUCCCCAAAGAACAUUAUGAUUAUUUAAAGAACCCAAUUUAAUAUUCAUGGCCAAGUGCAAUAGAUUAUAGAUUAUGUGAUAUGGGUGUUACACCUGUGCUGUGGGUUGUAUUUUAAUCUACUUGUUGGCUAAGGAAUCGAGUAGAAGGGCUAAAGAUGAGAAUCGAACCAUGAUCUUGGGAACGUGAACACAAACUUCAAUACCAAAGCUGACUGGACUGCUUCUCAUAAUUUACUACUUGGAAAUUUUAUUUUAUAUAGGCUUUGUUCAUUCAUAUUAUAGUUCAAGCAAUUAUAUCUUGAACUUAAAAAAGUGAUGCUUUCAUAUAUGAAAGUGUAACUCAUCCAAAUUUAUAUGAUCUAGCUGAUGUGGUGCCAUUUUGAGUUUGGACUUUGUUUUUUGUAGUGGAUUCAACAGGGAUUAUUGUGGAAUAAAUGGGGUGAAGUAAGUUAUUUUUAUAUUUAAAGAAUAUGAAAGACUGAAAUGUAUAGAAUCUCCAAGAUGUAACCUUGUCUUGCAUUGCAAAGAAUAGUAAGAUUUCCAAUUUCUAAAUUUCAACAUUAGUUGACAAUGGGGUGAAAAAACCCACCCUAAGUAAUGACUCCCCCAAAAAUUACACAUAAUAAACCUGCAACUUCUACAGUGCUCCAUUAGAUUCAUGAUCCUAUACAAGCUUCUUCUAACAAGGAAAUGCACAGAGCAUUUUGGGGAGAGACCAAUGAUGACUUCCGAAACAGCUCUGUCUAGGAAUUUCUAUUGCUUCUACUUCUGAAAAACGGAGUAGGAUAAAAGAACAAAAGAAAAAGGAAAAAGAAAGGACAGUACCGCCGUUUUAAGGGACAUGGCGGAACAUCAUGCGACUGUGUGAUGUUCUAAAAGGAAAAAGAGAGAAGAGCAGUACCGCCAUUUUAAGGGACAUGGCAAAACAUCAUGCAGCUGUGUAAUGCUUUACGACUUCUUUGUCAACAAAGCAAGCUCCUUUUCCUGCUGUUUCUUCAGAUACCUCUGAGCAGUUGCAUUCACAAUCUUGACAAAGAAGUUGAAUAGCAUAAGCCAGACCAGAGUGUUCCAAAUUGAUGCAAAAGAGAAAUCCCACGUUUUCACCUGGCAAGGAUUUUAAAUUAGACAAAUUGAAAUAAAUCAAGCACCUGACAUCAAUCAACACCAUAAGAAGUUAGAAGUCCAUUUACAACAAGGAUGCCUUAUCAACAGUUGAGUUACCUUGAUAUUUGAGGAUACAGAAGAAGCUGUGAGAUAUUUUUCUUUUGCCGCAUCAAUUUUGGCAAUGAGGUUAGGCAGGACAGCAGCAAAACCAGGAAUGAGACUGAAAACCCAAAUCAAUUCAUUCUCUAUCCAAUUAAGAAGUUGAUUGUUGCAAACUGAGAUGAUGAAGACCGUCUGCAUAAAAAGAAAAUAAACAAACAAAAACCACGAAUCAGAAGCAAAUAGGGAACAUUUGGACAAGCCGAAACAAAAAAUAUAAUCAAAAUAUCUUAUUCGAAGUAAGAGGUCUAAGAACAGCUUCGCAUAAAUGGAACCAAAACAUGGUCAAAACUGUGUAAGAAAAGGAACUUAACAAACCUGUAGAUGAGUUUUAAUAAUUGCCUUUCCAAUCACUGUUGCAAGGAAAAAUUUCCAGAAUGGAAUACCAAAUUGUCCACACAUAAUGCCAGCCAGGUCAAAAAGAGGAUUUGGCACCUGAAAACUAUCCCAGUUAACUGGCAGGUUACAAUGAAAAUAGUACUGCACGCAAUUUUGAGAUGAGCAUAACAGUUGUUGCAUUCUAAGAUCAAACUAGAAUUUCAACAGUACAAAUAUACUUGAGCACCAACUUUAAUUAAAAGUUAGAUUUAGAAGAGAAAUGAUGAUUCAUGCAACUACUGGAUGGUAAUAGAAAUCCAAAUCUCAUUAAUCUGUUAGCAUACAACAUGACACACACACACAUGAAUAUUUGUGUAAUAUUACAGAAGAAAUACCAAUUAUCUGUAAUGAAGAGGAAACAAUAGAAAUCAUAUAGCAAAGAAUAAAAGGUCACUCCGAUGAAACAAAAAGGUAUAUUUUAUGAAAGGCACUCUAGUAAUGAAGAAGAAAGAUGUUCAAACUAACCGAAGCAAGCACUAAGAUCGUAAAGAAGUUAAACUGUUGUGAGUGUGAUAGAAGCCAGCGUUUGACUCGGUUUAGAUGAGUAGCUAUGAAUCCUGUUCCUUCAUCUGAGGGGGCAUCCAAUUCUUCCAUGCCAUCCACUUUGUCGCCAGAUAAGCUUGCUACAUGAAGCAGUGAACCAAAAGCAGACCAGAAUUAGAUGCAUAAAUCACAUAGAUCAUUGGAUGAAUAGUGUCCUCCAUCCCUUCAGUCCAUUUUGCCUGUAUGACAUCCUAGUACAUGCAAAAUGGAUCUUCAUCCAGUUUUCAUUUAAAAAAACCUUAGCAUAGAAAUCUUGGUUGUAGGACAGUUUAUCAACCUACAACUUGUUCUGCUUACCUGCUCUUGAGAUAAAAUAUGGAGGAAGCUCUCCAAUUGCAGUCCCAACACCCCAUAAAAUAGCCUCUAGCUGGACCUGAGGUAAUAUGCUGCUAAGUGGAACCCGCAAACCAUGUAAUGACGGAAACAAUGGGGGCCCAAAUUCAGAGCAGUUUUUCCCAAGCCACGAAGGACCUCUUUUUAGCUGUAUUGUAUCAUAGGGAGCACUUUUUAAAUCAACUCGACCACACUGCAUCGCCUUUAAAGUAAAGAAGGCAAUAUGAGGACCCAGAUAUAGGACAAACGUGUGCAAACCAGAUCCUGAAGGAAAAAUAAGCAAAAGAAGACAAUAUUAUGCUUCCAUUCUAUAUCAGGGAGGUUACAUCAAUUUAUACAAGGAAAGAUGUUGCUGAGCAUUUAAAAAUAGAUACAGAAGAGAUGCUCUUUCUUGUUCCAUACUUUUUCCAUGUUUUAAUUGCUUGCACCAUCAGAAAGCCUGAUACAAAAACAAUGAUUCAUAAUUUUCAUAUUGCUUACCAAGACCAAUUGAUGAUGCAACUCCAAGUGCCACCCACCAUAGCCCGAACUGGAAAUAUUUGAGAAGUUCCUCAACAUGCUGCAGAAUCAUUCCAUCAACUUUUAGCAUUUAAACAAAACAAAUGAUAUUAAAUGCCAACACCAGUAAGAAACAUCACAGUUAACCAUCAGAAGGCUAUGAAUAAAAUGUGCCUGGGCAUUAACAUCCUCACCACACAAAGUAAUGAGCUUUAAGAUUUUUCACAGCCUUUAAAUAUUUUUAAAAUAUUUGAAUACUUAAAAUAAAAAAAAUAAAAAAUAAAUAAAAAAAAGCAUCAGUUUUGUGAAGUGAUGCUAUGAAUAAAAUGUUAAAAAUCAUUUAGUUAACAAAAUUGGAGGUAGAGAUUUGAUGUUGGUUCAUAAAAAUAAGUAUCCUUCAAGUAAGAAAGGGUUUGGUUAACGGUUAACCCUAGAUUCGCAUCCUAUUAGGAAGCAAAAUAAUUUCCAUUAAAUAAACAACCCUAAAAGAAAUGAACAUAAUUUCAGCCAGAAAGAUCUUUGGGGUCCAUCUUAAGAACAUAGCAUCUUAUCAAAUAUGAUAUCACUAAUAUAAUCUACACAUAAAAAUACCUUCUCAUGAGGGCCAUCAAUGGUCACUAGAAGAAUUCCAAGUGACGCUACGACAGUACUCAAAAGCAUAAGCCAACCACCUUUUGCCAACAGAUAUGAUAUUGAACGCUUCACAUAUUGAACUACAGCCAAAAUGAAAAACUUCAAUGUUCUGAAGGGUUGUGUUGUUAGUGUCAAGUUUUCUAGUUCCUCUUGAUGCUUCUCACUGAGCCCUGAAACCAUAUGCAAUUUUAUCAGCGAAAAGUAUUUAAGAUGGAAAGGACCUUUCAGCUUCCUUUAGAGAGUGACGAUGGAGAGUUGAUUUCUUUUUCUUUCUAAUCGUAUUUACUACUAAUCUCAGAUAAUAUUGAAGCUUUUUUUACAAAGCGUGCAAAAUAGUGUUUAUCAGAAUGAAGUUAUAUAUUCUCUACAAAAUGAAAGUUUCAAAAUUUAUGAGAAAGAGAGAUAGCAACUGUAACAUUAACAAGUGGUGCAAGUAUACAAGUUGAAUGACCAUGUCUAUAUCUCCAAGAUGGAUGCUUUUUAACUGAAAGAUCACAGAAAAACAUGUACCAAACAAUUUCGCUUAUCUAAACUAAAACGAACAUUUGUAUCCUAUGUUUUCAUCGUCCUACUAAACUAAACUAAACACACUCUCAAAAUCCGUUGUCCAUAGCCAAUAGAAUUGCAGUCUGUCAAGCAUGACUGCACAAGAAAACGAGCAAUACCCAACCCAAUUCGUGAUAAGCAUCAAAAGCAUUCUCAUUGUUUUGAAUCCAGUACCUGCAUAGCUUAGGAAAUUAAUCUACAUAGUUCAGAUCCUAUUUCGCCUAAUAGAAGUGUUUGCUUGAGGCCCUAUUGGCCUAUAAUGUUCUACUUCAUUGUUCUAUAUGGAAACCACUAAAUGAAUUUUUCUAUCACUUAACCCCCACCUCCAUUAAUAAACCAAAAAUUCUGCUUUCCUCCGAAAACUUUGAGACCUAAGUUCAAUUCAUUUAAGUUUUGAAUGAAUGAAAACUCAAAAAAUCAAUAAACAUGAACUUCAGACUUAAAACGAAUUCUGGGUUCUCCAAUUACAGAUUCAGAAAUUCCAGCAUAGAACGAAAAAGCAUAAUGAAUGAGAAAAUUAGAGAAAUUGAAUAACUUGCCUGAGAUCGAAAUUUCCGUGCGCUGAGAGGACGAAGGUGGUGACGAAGAAGAAGAAUUUGCUUGUUUACGGGACCCCAUUAGAGGAGGCUCACAUGACACAAUCAAAAGCUCCCUCUUUUAUUCAUGAAUAAUAUGAAAUUUUCAUAUAUGUUAAUCUUCCUUCUUUUAUUUUACAAAAAAAUAAAAAAGGGUUGUAAGAGAACAAGAGAUUGGAGUGAACCCAGUGGUUGAAAGUCUGAAACUGGAUCAAACAGUUGAAUCAAAAUUUCAGAUCUAAAAGACCCAAAAAUAGAGAGAGAUGGAGAAACCAAACAUCCCCAGAAGUUUGCGUGAAGUGGAGCUUUUAUAUCUUAUUUCAUAUAUGAGUCUCCGACUCCACCACCAUAGAGACCAAAAUGUGCGCGUGUUAUUUGGUUUGUGAAAAUAUACAACUUUUUAUAUAUUUAUUUUUCAUCAACGACAAUAAUAUAUACAACUUAUUACACUUCUUAUUACUAUCCUUUUUGUUUUCUUCAUUAGCAAAAAAGUUUCUUUUUCUUCUUCAGUUUGCUAAUUAAUAAGGAUGUAUCCUUCAAAUUGGUGAAUAAAAGUUUAUUUCUUUUGCCUUUUCUUUGUUAACUAAUUUAGGGAAUGCACCCGUAUCAUGAAAAGAUUGGCCGUAAAAUGCUUUUGCCUCAGUUCAUAUAUUCAAAUUAGUUUUUUUUAGUAUUUCAAUCCAACUAAAAUAAGUGUGUAGAAUUUAACUUGACUUUUAGUUAGUAAUGACAUCCCUACAUUACAAUGAUCUUUCAACAACAUCAGCAAAAGCUUCUUUUAUGAUGUGAUCUUUCAAUGUCACUAGAAUGAUUUUGUUUCCUUUAUUAGCAACAUCGACUUUGAAAAUUAAUAAUAUAUAUAUUUUUAUUUCACAAUAGUUACCCUAAAACUAUAUUUUUCAUCUUUUUUUUUCUGUUCUUUUAAACUUGUAGUUCACUAUUCAUUUUUUAAUUUGCACUCUCUAAUCUCAACUGUGUUGAAGAAGUCUCACGUCGAAAACUUAACUAAAUAAAUUUCAACAUAUAAUGAAUAGUUCCACUACUAAUAUUACCAAAGCCUUUUGUGAUAAAACCUCACAUCUGCUUGGCUUUGUAGGUGUUUAAGUUGAGAACAACAUCGGCGUUGCUAAUAGUGGGCCGCUGGCCCGUCUCUUUGAAAUUUAACUAAUUUAACUAAGCACGUAGUGCUUACGAUUUGUAAUUUUUUCUUCUAAUUUUCUCUAUAUCUUAAACUAUAGAUUAAUACAUGACAUAUCAUUUCUCUCUUAAUCUUUGUUUUAUUUUGUAAUAUUCCACUAUAAAAUUAUUUCCAACAGUCAAAGACCAACUUCUGUAUCAAGGUCGGAGUGACAUAAAUAAAUGGCACAAGAGAAUAUCAAGACAUGCAUUAUGCAUACGUUUACAGAUUACUUGUAUAUUAGCCAUUUCAAGCCAAAAGGCAAAAUAAAUAAUAAAAAGAAGGUUGGCUGUUUCCAUUCUAUGAUAAUAUGACUCAAUAAAAACAUUCCAUAAUUAUGUUGCAAUUGCCUAUUUUGUUUAUUUAUUUAUAGCUAUAACUUUAUUUGCCGUGCCUUUCGGUGAAGGUGAGAACCAACUUACUGAAAGGUCAUUUCACCCAUUUUUAGAGCCACACCAUCUACCAUGUUUUUUUUUGGCUAAAUUUUUGUUAACGAAAUAAAUGUAUACUCCUUUUCUUCUUUUUUUUGCUAAAAAAGAAUUGUACCAUGAUUUAGAAAGUCAUUGCAUUUGUUAUUUCUGACUUGAAAGUUAAAACAACUGAAUGGCCAAUUGUUUCUUAUAAAAAAAAAACUACAAAGGUCACAGAAAGGUCCACGAUUCGAGUUCUAGUAUUCGUGUAAUGUGUGUGAAUUUAGUAUAUUAUCGUUCAUCUUAAUACAAAAAGUCUCUCAAAAAAAAAACAAAAAAGAAGUAGUCAAUUUUUGAUAUCGGUAUGGAUUUAGUUCUGUGAAUUGAGUGGUAAUAUCGCAUAUGGUCUUGUAUAAAGGACAAGCAUUGCGUGUACGCUUAGGCACUUUGUAGCUUUAGAAGCAAGGGAUAAAGAUGCUUGUCCAUGGGAAUAUCCCAUUUUGUUAUAUGCUACAUACAUAUACCUAUUUAUGUUGUUCCUUCUUCUAACAUGUUAAUCAUAUCAUGCUAGUUGUGCACGCAAAAGCACAUAUGCUAAUUAUUUUUUUAUGCUAUUAAUUAGCAUAUUCCGUAUUUCAGUAUCAUACAAUAAUUUUUCAUAUAAAUUUCUUUUUUAUUUGGGUUGUAAGGCAACAUCCGAUACGGUUAAAAAAAAUUAUAAUUUUGUGAGUUAAAACCAGUGAAUAAAUCAGGCUUUGGUAUUCUUUUAUUGAUCACCACAUGCCUUUCCCUCUUGGUAUUCUGUAGGUGAAGCUUAAAGAAAGGUCAAAGAAAUGGCGUUAUAGAAAGAGAGAGAUUUAGGGCAAUAACAAAAUUGCAGUCCCUAUGGUAUGCUACAUACUUUAUAAUCUUCAUGUAUCUUUGACUUAAAAUAAUCCAGUUGUUAGGUUGUGAUGUGAUGACAUAAAUUAUGAAUAAACUCCAAUCGAAAACUAGGGUCAGCUUACAAGUCAAGUUCCACAUUUCUUUUGGUCAACAAAUCAAAAGGAGAUGAGUAAUUUAUUAUGAAUAUUUGGAUUCACGUGAUAAGUGUUUCUUCUUUUCUUUUUUGGUUUUGUUUUAUAGUGAUUAUUUUAAGAUUAACAAAGGCACCAAAUCGAAUUGUUGUUCUUUCUGUAUGGGUCAAGCAAAUGUGAUGUCCAGGCCUAAUCUUUGGCAAGCCUACUUCUUUGCGGGCCUCAACUUAGUGUGUGCUUUGAGUACAAAGGCCUAGCUCAGCCCAUUUAACUUUGGGAUUGUUCAUCAGAGUGUGUAUUUUAUUAGUUGGGGAAUUAAUGUUUUUGCCUAAUUGUUUAAAUAUUAUUGAGAGCAACUCUACCUAUUUCCCAAUUUGUUUUGUGUUAGAUGCUCAUAGAGACAUAUCAAUAGAAUUCUCCUUUAUAAAAAAUUUGUGCGCGUUGUUCAGCCUUACCUACUUUCAUCUCUUUUGCAAUGUUACGUUUCACCCACAUGAAUGUAAGGAUGAUACAUAUUUAUGAUUAGUUUGAUACUUUAAUCUCAUUAUGGUAUGGUGGUGGUAGUGUGACUUUCUUUAAUGCACAUCUUGUCAGCUCUUCAAACAUAAGUAAAACGUUGUCAUCGACCUAAAAUUGUUUAAUCAUAAGAGUGACGAUUGAUAACAAUACCAAGUUUUUGUUUGAGACAAAAGCGAUAAAAGGAUAACCACAAAGUGGGGACAACAAUGAUGAAGAGAAUUAGGCAAGCAUAUAAUUAAUGUUAAUGGCGCAAGAUUAAAUAAAUACUCAUGUAAUGUUGGUUUAUGAUGUUUAAUAUGAGCUCGGUGAUCAUAGCAUUCUAGGGAAUAUGUUAAAUUCCAAUGAGAAAAUUCUCUCUCUUUUCUUUUUCUUCCUUUUUUUCCCUUCCUUUGAGGGGCAUGUGGUGAGGUGAGGGUGAGGCCGGUGCUUUCUCUUUCGGUCGGAGGAGAUGAGGGGCAAAAUUUGAUUGGUUUUCAGGUUUCUUCAUUUUUGUUACUUUGCAUUUGAUUCCUUCCUUCCAUGGCCAACAAGAAAAGGAGGGAACAAAACAACUCCACGGAGGCAAGUUAUUGUUGUUGACAAUAAUCACAUUUGCUAACUUCAUAGUCACAUUUGGUAUAUACGUUACAUUUUGACUAUGUAAUUUUAUUUUAAAUAUUUGGUCAAUUACGUUGACAAGAUGAAAAUUGGUUAAUAAAGUUCAUAAUAUAAUUAUAUAUAUUAUUGCUUACAUUAUCGACAAGACAACUGGUAGGUAGAAGGAUAAACAGUUAAUUCAAAAUUAUAUAAGAAGUUAUCAAAAUCUUGAAAAUGAAAAAACUCCCUAAACUUCAGCCAAAAACUAUUGAAUUUUAUUCAUGCAUCCGUCUUCAUGAAAGGUGCAUGAAGCUGUAUGAACACAUGUACAAGAUAUACCAUAAUACCGUAGUAUUCUUUAAUUUCUAAAAUGAAAAAAAGAUGAGUUGUGAAAUUAUAAGCAUAUAAGUCAAAGAUUAAUAAUUGAUAUGUCUACGCUUGGUUUAAGGAGAAUAAUCAAUCAACAAAUUAUGCUCGAUUGUCAAGAAAAUAAUAUUUUUGAUUUUCAAGGAUUGAAAUUUUUUAUUUAUAAACGAAUAAAGAAGGGAAUGCAACAAGAGAACUUUUCAAAAACAGAGAUUAAGCCGCUUGAUUAUGAAAAUCCACAAAUUCGCUCAAUUUGUAAAAGUAUGAAAAUCUCUGGUCCGUUCCAUGAUAGUGUGACAGUAAAUUGAAAGUGGACUAGGGACGACAAGAAGUGACCAUUUUGGCCAACAGUAUCUAAAAGAGAGAGAGAGAGAGAGAGAGAGAGAGAAAAAUAAUAAUAAAAUUUGGUCAUUGCCCUUUUGUGGGGUCGCACCUAAUUAACAUAUCAUGGGACCAGACAUGACGAAUUUCAAGCAUAACAUUACAUUUUGGUAAGUUUUGUAUCUGAGUUGAUAGAUGAUUAUUACUUUUACUGCUCAACCAAAAGACAGGAUGCUUUUAACUCCACGUGAUGUAACUGGUACAAUUGAUCCUCACUUGUCACUUUGUUUCUAAAUUCAAUAUAUAUGUGUCAAAAAAAAGGUACAACAUCUUUUAAAGACACAACAAUCCCUAUAUCUGUGUCUUUGCAAUUUCAGAAUGCCUAAACUGACCACGUAGUUGAUUACAGGAUCGCUGAUAUGAGCCGGAAAGACUCUAAUGAGGAAUUAUGAUGAGAGAGUUAUUAUUGAACGACCAGAUUAAACCCCUCAACACGCCCCCUCAUAUCAAUGCCUAAACAUUUGUUGACAGCCCACAUCCCAUAUAAUAUCAUUAAAUUGAAAAAUUAACAACCCUUUUUAAGAGUAAUAAAUUUAAUUAGUAUAUAAUAUAGACCGUAGUACAAGACCCCUGGGAAGCAUCCAUCGAUCGACAGGGCAUCAUCAAUCAAAGAAAGAAAAAAAUAAUUAUAGUUUUUGCAAGUCCAACGGGACAUGUCAGACCUAAAUCAACGAUUAGUGUCAAUGUUAAUGUGAACUAAAAUAAUUCACAAGUUCAUUAAAUCUAUUCUGACCAAAAAGAAAAUACAUUAAAUAUACCAACAUGCAUAUAUUGUAUUACCAAAGAAACAAAAAUCAAAUACGUUUUACAAUUAUAUGUACUGAUUAAAAAAAUUUUUUAUAGCGAAUUGGGUUUGCCAAGAGCGAAUCUUGUUCUUUGAUUAUCUAUUAAUAAAGAGAUAAAGUUUGAAAAUUCCAUCAGGACCCCACUAUUAGUUGUCACUUCCAAGUCAAAAUUGCAGAGAAUUAUUAACAACCAUUAGAAACACAAUGAAAACAGAGAGCACCAAUACAAAAAUUUGCUCACAUUCUCAUCAUCUUCCUCAAAUUUGGCUUUAUAUAUACCAUUAAUAAUCAUGUUAAGCAUUGAGUAUCUCAAUUGGUAGUUGCAGAUCUUCUUCAACUGCUGAGGGCUCUCAUGGGGAAAGUGAUGGAAGCAUUUUGUUUGAAGAACAAAGAGAAGCUAAAUAAUAACAACAUGGUGGUGAGUGGAAGAGGAAGCAGUAAAAUCAGAGGAGAAGUAGUGUUGAUGAAGAAGAAUGUAAUGGACUUCACUGAUAUCAGAGCCUCAUUCACUGAUAGAAUCUUUGAGCUCUUGGGCAAAGGUGUUUCCAUGCAACUCAUCAGUAACAACCAGCCUGAACCUGCAGGUAGCUUCUCUAACAUUUGCUAAACUUCUUUUGUUCAAGUUUUUGCAACAACCCAUGACUUCAAUUUUGACAAAGGUUCAAAAAAUGUUUAUUGAUUAUUUGCAGAAAAUGGGUUAAUAUCAAGAGGGAGGCUUGGAAAGGCAGCAUACCUGGAGAAAUGGGUUACAACCAUUACAUCAACGACGGCGGGAGAAACUACUUUCACCAUUUCCAUGGACUGGGAAAACUCCAUGGGAGUUCCUGAAGCUUUGCUGGUUAAAAACCAUCACCACAGCCAAUUCUACCUCAAGACAAUCACAUUAGAAAACGUUCCGGAGCACGGUCGACUCCAUUUCGUCUGCAAUUCCUGGGUAUACCCGGCACGGUAUUACAAGUAUAAUCGAAUAUUUUUCCCCAACAAGGUAAUUUCAGUUUGAUUUACAUAAAUUCCAUAAGAUAACAUGUAUCUGGGAGAGAUUGUCCUUUUUAUUUUAUUUUAUUUUAAAUUUAAUUUUUUUUAUAAAAUGUUGAAGUUCAUGCAGCAUGCUUUGUCAGUCUUUGAUUAAAAAAAAAACAAGGCUUUGAUCUCUUUCAUAACAUGAUGAAUUGGUUUUAGCAUCAUAUCUUAUCCGACCCAUGUGGUGAGAUGUGCUAUGAUUGUUUCUUUCGAGCGUACUUAUUGGAAGCUAAAACUUACUUUAUCUGGAAAAAUCGAAAGAUCAGUAUAUGAUUAACUUUUUAAUGUGGAAAAGUCAUUCUCUAAUUUACUUUUCCAGCUAGAUUUGCACUUGCAUUAGAAAGUCUAUUCAUUAUUGGAUUGGCUUCAUAUUUCUUUAAUUGUAGAGUUUUCUUCUGUGUAUAUAAAAACAUGGUAACUUAUGAUGUGCGUGUGGUUAUAUUCAAUGGCUUUUUCUAUGGGGCCAUAAUUCCACAAUUUCAAAAAGUUACAGCAAAUUUGGUCUCUCCCUCUUCUUCAUUGAAAUGCAGAAACGAGACUUACGCUAACGUUUUGCUAUAAUUGGGUUAAGGAACUUAUGUGAAUGCACUAACAGAAAACUUCAUGUUUUUGUGUUAGGCCUACCUGCCAUCAAAAACACCUGGGCUAUUACUCCCUUACAGGGAAGAAGAACUCAAGAAUCUAAGGGGGAGUGGAUCACGCAAGCUGAAGGAGUGGGACAGAGUGUAUGACUAUGCUACCUACAAUGAUCUGGGCAGUCCAGACGACGGUCCAGAACAUGCACGCCCUAUACUUGGUGGAUCGCAGUGUCCAUAUCCAAGAAGAGGAAAAACCGGGCGAAAACCAACUAAGACUGGUUAGGAACAUAAAUAGAAUAUGAACAGAGACUGUUUAUGAUUGAAUGGUUCUCAUAUAUCUUAAAACAUUCAUAAUGAAUGACCAAUUUGUCUUUAUGCUUGUAACAGACCCCGAUUCUGAGAGCAGACUGGCACUACUAGAUCUAAACAUCUAUGUUCCAAGAGAUGAGCGGUUUAGCCAUGUUAAGUUUUCAGACUUUAUUGCCUAUUUCCUGAAAUCCCUGGCUCAGGUAUUGCUUCCAGAGCUCAGAUCUUUGUGUGAUAAAACUAUCAAUGAGUUUGACACCUUUGAGGAUGUAUUUAAUCUGUAUGAUGGAUGUAUCGAGCUACCAAAUGGGCCAACACUGAAGAAAAUACGGGACUGCAUCCCUUGGGAGCUGUUUAAGGAACUAGUUCGCUCAGAUGGCGAGCGAUUUCUCAAGUUCCCAUUGCCUGAUGUGAUUAAUAGUAUGUAAAAGUCUUUACCCCUAUGACUUGGUUUCAGAUAAGCUAAAUUCUUAGAUUUUUAAACAUGUUUAUACACUAAACUACGAAGGUUUCAUGAUAUAAUUGCAGAGGAUAGAUCUGCAUGGAGGACAGAUGAAGAGUUUGCAAGAGAAAUGUUGGCAGGGGUGAGUCCGGUUAACAUUGCCUGCCUCCAAGUAAGAUACAAGUUUCACUAACUCAUUUGACUAUCAUAAUCAUACAGCUAUGUUAAGUUGUUCGAUACAUCAUUGAAAUUCUAUCGGCAGGAAUUUCCCCCGACCAGCAAGCUAAAACCUGAUGUAUACGGGAAUCAGAACAGUUCAAUAAGAGAAGAGCACAUAGAAAAGAACAUGGAUGACCUCACUGUUGAACAAGUACUAAUCAUGCUCAACUUUCUUGCAGUCUUCCAUUGCGGGUUAAACCAUAAUAAUCCAAUAUUUAUUAAAUUCAUGUAACAUAAGUAAUCAUUUCUGCCCUUUUUUGCACAGGCGAUGCAAUGGAACAGGCUAUUCAUAUUAGAUCAUCAUGAUGCAUUAAUGCCAUACCUGAGGCGAAUAAACUCAACCAACACAAAGACCUAUGCCACCAGAACUCUCCUCUUCCUGAAAGAAGACGGGACAUUGAAGCCUCUGGCAAUUGAGUUAAGCUUACCACAUCCACAAGGCGACCAUCACGGUGCUGAUAGCAAAGUUUUCACUCCAGCACCAAAAGGCAGUAAACGCAUUGAGGAUUCGGUGUGGCAGCUUGCCAAAGCUUACGUUGCUGUAAAUGAUUCUGGCUAUCAUCAGCUUAUCAGCCACUGGUAUGAAGCCUAACAAAGAAAGUGCCGUAUUGUAGCAUCAGGUAUCAGCUUGGUUCUAGUUUACAAGCUUCUAAUUUAUUUGCAGGUUAAACACCCAUGCUGUAAUAGAGCCAUUUGUGAUUGCAACAAAUAGACAGUUGAGUGUGCUUCACCCAAUACAUAAGCUCUUGCAACCCCACUUCCGGGACACGAUGAACAUAAAUGCCCUAGCAAGGCACAUCCUCAUCAAUGCUGGUGGGGUGCUUGAGAGAACAGUCUUCCCAGCUAAAUUCUCCAUGGAAAUGUCAUCCGCCAUUUAUGAAAACUGGGUAUUCACUGAGCAGGCAUUACCUGCUGACUUGCUCAAGAGGUGAGCCAGAAAGCCUGAAUUCAAAUUAAUAGAUUUCAACUUCUAUCAAACUGAAUUUCUUUCCACUUCUGUUUGAUUUCAGAGGAAUGGCAGUUCCAGACCCAAAUGGCCUUCAGGGCUUAAGACUUGUGAUUGAGGAUUACCCGUUUGCUGUUGAUGGGCUAGAAAUAUGGUCCGCUAUUGAAACUUGGGUUACUGAAUAUUGCUCUUGCUACUACAAAACAGACGACGAGGUCCACAGUGAUACUGAACUCAAGUCAUGGUGGACAGAGCUCCGCAAUGAAGGCCAUGGCGACAAGAAGGAUGAGCCAUGGUGGCCUGAGAUGAAAACAAGAGACGAACUUAUCCAAUCAUGUACCAUAAUCAUAUGGGUGGCUUCUGCCCUCCAUGCAGCUGUUAAUUUUGGGCAAUAUCCUUAUGCUGGCUUCCUCCCUAACCGCCCAACUGUAAGCCGCCGUUUCAUGCCCGAGGCAGGCACUGAUGAAUACGCUGAGCUUGAGUCAAACCCUGACUUAGCCUUCCUCAAAACAAUUACAUCCCAAUUCAACACUCUCCUCGGUAUAUCUCUGAUAGAGAUUCUAUCCCGACACUCAACUGAUGAGGUUUAUCUUGGGCAAACAGAUAAUCCUGAGUGGAUUUCGGAUGAUAAGCCCCGAGCAGCAUUUAAGAAAUUCGGAGACACACUGAUGGAAAUUGAAAAGAGAAUUGACGAAAGGAACAAUGAUGAGAAAUACAAGAACAGAGUUGGGCCUGUUAAGGUGCCUUAUACAUUGCUGUAUCCUAGCACCUCGGACACAAAGAGAGAGGGUGGACUCACUGGGAGAGGAAUUCCCAACAGUGUCUCUAUAUGAACUUUUUGAUCUGCAUACUACUAGAUGGAUGGAUAUUUUUGAAGCAGUUAUAAUUAUUCUAGUGUGAAAUGGUCGUGCAACUAGAGUGAAAGAGUACCAGAUAGGAUUUUUGUACCUGUCAUAUUUUUUCUUUAUCAUAAUCUUCUACCAAAGUGGUUGUGCAGAUUGUAUAUACUAUCUUAGUGGUAUGAAUGAAUUGGUGUUGUGCAUGUGUGAAUUAUAUCUCAUUCUCAGAACACAAAAACCUGAGUUUUUACUCGUAUUAAUUUGCCUACAGAAGAGAAGACGAAUCGUUCGAAUCAAAAACCUGAAAAGAUGCUUGUCUGCUACAUUGCCUGUCAGUCUGGAGCUAUAUCUGCACCAUUUUCUGUUGCCAAAACAGUAUCUGCAUAUUUGCAUAGAACGAGCUUAGAUUCAGUGUAACAACAAGCAAGCAAUUAUGAGAGAUAAAAUGAGAGAGAGAACUUACUCAAUCUGCAAAGUAAAUUGCACAACAUUGAAGAAGAUUUUGCAGUCUCGACUCUUUACCCUCUCCUGUGACUCACUGAUUGGUUGCAUGUACCACGUGUAACCUUCUUGACUUGCCAUAUGGCUUACCCUUUUUCUUGCACCAACAAGGAUGAUGGUGUUGCUGAAGAAGACAAUUAUGCGCGAGUGCCAUAGCUUUUUCUUUGGGCAGAUGCAAUUGCUAUAUCAAUAGGGAAAAUAGUAGCCUUUUGGGGGAAUUGUGAAUUUGUGGUGGCUUCUUGUGAUUAGGGGUGGGCACGGUUCGGUUUGGACCGGUUUUUGCCUCAAAUUAGAACCGAUUCGAUACUAUUCAUCCGGUUUGGUUUGGUUCGGUUUUAAUAAAAAAAAUUUCAAAAACUGUCCGGUUCGGUUUGAACCGAUUUCGGUCCGGUUCCGGUUCCGGUUCGGUUUUGAACCGGAUUAUAAAAAUUAUUUUUUUAAAUUAUUUUUUAAUACAAUUCUCAACUGAAAUAUUAUUUUUUUACUUGAAAAUUAACAAAUUAUUCAAUUUCAUAUAAAAAAAUAAAUAUUAAAGUGAGAAAAGAGAGAUAUUUUGACAUUGAACUUGGAUAAAUAUUAAGUUUUUUUAGUGAAAUUAAAAAUAUAGCAUUAAAUAUAAAUAUAUAUUGAAAUUAUAUAUAUUGUUAGUUUCACCGGUUCGGUUCGGCCCGGUUCGGUUUUUGAAGACAUGGAACCGGAUCCGGAACCGGUCCAAACAGGUCCGGUUCGGUUUUUGACCGGUUUUUGACUUUUUGGUCAACUCGGUUUUUUUUCGGUUUGGUUCGGUGCGGUUUGGUUUGGAUUUCCGGUUCGCCGGUUUGAGUGCCCACCCCUACUUGUGACCUAGUGGGUAUGAGUUGGCCCAGUUAGAGGUGGUCAAAAUCCGAAGCCCAUUUCUUAUUUAAAAUUGUGACGGAUCUUAUGAUCAAAAUCUAAAUAACUUAGUUUUUAUUGUUAUUUUAAGUUUAUUAAAUUGAAUAUGAAAUUCGAACAAAAAAACAACUCAUAAUUUAGUUAAAAGUCAGAAAUUUAAAAGGAAAAAUUGACAAUUCCUUUGUUUGACAACUUAAGCGUGGAAUUUAUUAAAUGACGCGUGGAAAAAAUUGUGAAAAUUGGGGCAUAAAAUUCCCUAGUUUAAUUUCUAUCAAAAUAUGUGUCAUUUCACAAUUUUCAUGGUGCCAUUUAUAAAAUUUCGUUAUUUACAAAUUCAACAUACAUAAAUCCAAACACUAAAAUCUUCAAUUGUCAUAAAUUAAAAUAAUAGAAUCUGAAUUCCGUCAUUUUAAAAUUAUAUGUAAUUUUCAAUUACUUCAUCCAAACGGAGAGUAAUUGUUUUCCCAUCUUUCAAAAUAUGAAAGAUCGCAACAGUUUAUUAGUCUACUUUAUUAAGAAAAGUCUUGAGUUCAAAUCUUAUAAAAUUAUUAAUAUAAUAAAACAAGAGCAAAUAAUUGAUCAAAAUCGAACUAAUAUGUAAUUAAAUUUUUUUAAAAAUAAAAUAAAUAUAAAUGAUAGUCUAAAUUACUUUCUCACACACAUUAAUAAGGUAUCAUGGGAGUUCGAACUUGAGACCACUAAUGUAUAAAUAAAUGUCAUUUUUCAUUGGAUUAGAUGAUAUAACAUGUAUAUAUUUAUUAAAACUAUAUGUACUGACUAGCACACAACAUUGAUUACCAUAGGUCAUGUCACAUAUGUAACAACACAUCCAAAUAAACUCAUUUCAAACAAAAUAUGAAUAUCGGGAUCAUUUUAAGACCAAAUAAAAAAUUGAAAAGUCAUAGGACAAAAUAGAAAUCCCAAUUUAGCUUCUCCCAAAGGAUUUUACAAGAUGACCAGAAAUAAGAUAUGCAAAGAAGCAUAGAAGAAACAAAAGAGAUGAAAAUGAGGCACAGGUAGGUCAGCCAACGUAUCAGAAUCACAGAUCCUAAUUGGUCCAACCAAUAUCACCUUAUCCAAACCCAAAUCCUCACCACCCACAUCAAAUCCUUCAAACUCUACCCCAACCAAAAUCCUCCAUAACCCCAUAAACCAAAACAAAAAUUAUACCACCACAACUCUCUCUCUCUCUCUCUCUCUCUCUCUCUCUCUCUCUCUCUCUCUCUCUCUCUCUCUCUCAUGGCCAUGGCAACACAAGCCACCCUCUUCACCCCAACCCCCUCAGCCCCAAAGACCAGCGUUGAGCGCUCCACUGUCCCAUGGAAGCAAUCAGUGUCCUCCUCCUUCAUGGCCCCAAAGCCACUCAAGCUCUCCUCCACCACAAGAACCAUGAGGAUCAAUGCAGCAGCAGAAGAGAAAACUGUGGCGCCACCAAAGGAGGCUCCAGUGGGCUUCACCCCACCAGAACUCGACCCAACAACCCCAUCACCAAUCUUUGGUGGCAGCACAGGAGGGCUGUUGAGGAAAGCCCAGGAAGAAGAGUUCUAUGUGAUCACAUGGGAGUCUCCAAAGGAGCAGAUUUUUGAGAUGCCAACUGGAGGAGCAGCCAUUAUGAGGGAGGGUCCUAAUUUGCUGAAACUGGCCAGGAAAGAGCAGUGCUUGGCUCUUGGGACAAGGCUGAGGUCAAAGUACAAGAUCAAGUACCAGUUUUACAGGGUGUUCCCUAAUGGGGAGGUUCAAUAUUUGCACCCAAAGGAUGGAGUUUACCCUGAGAAGGUGAACCCAGGGCGCCAAGGGGUUGGCCAGAACUUCAGGUCUAUUGGGAAGAAUGUGAACCCAAUUGAGGUCAAGUUC
rnacentral:lncRNA from 1 species